rnacentral:rRNA from 1 species
UAAAGAGCGCGUAGGCGGUUUAUUAAGUUGGGAGUGAAAUCCCGGGGCUCAACCUCGGAAUUGCUCUCAAAACUGGUAGGCUAGAGUUCGGUAGGGGGUGAUGGAAUUCCUAGUGUAGAGGUGAAAUUCUUAGAUAUUAGGAGGAACACCGGUGGCGAAGGCGAUCACCUGGCCCGAUACUGACGCUGAGGCGCGAAAGCGUGGGGAGCAAACAGGAUUAGAUACCCUGU